rnacentral:rRNA from 1 species
UACGGGGGGAGCAAGCGUUGUUCGGAUUUACUGGGCGUAAAGGGCGCGUAGGCGGUCAGCACAAGUCAGUUGUGAAAUCUCCGAGCUUAACUCGGAACGGUCAACUGAUACUGUGCGACUAGAGUGCGGAAGGGGCAACUGGAAUUCCUGGUGUAGCGGUGAAAUGACGCAGAUAUCAGGAGGAACACCAAUUGCGAAGGCAGCUCGCUGGGACGUUACUGACGCUGAGACGCGAAAGCGUGGGGAGCAAACAGG